GCAUAUCAAUAAGCGGAGGAAAAGAAACCAACAGGGAUUGCCCUAGUAACGGCGAGUGAAGCGGCAACAGCUCAAAUUUGAAAUCUGGCCUCGGCCCGAGUUGUAAUUUGCAGAGGAAGCUUUAGGCGCGGCACCUUCUGAGUCCCCUGGAACGGGGCGCCAUAGAGGGUGAGAGCCCCGUAUAGUUGGAUGCCUAGCCUGUGUAAAGCUCCUUCGACGAGUCGAGUAGUUUGGGAAUGCUGCUCAAAAUGGGAGGUAAAUUUCUUCUAAAGCUAAAUACCGGCCAGAGACCGAUAGCGCACAAGUAGAGUGAUCGAAAGAUGAAAAGCACUUUGAAAAGAGGGUUAAAAAGCACGUGAAAUUGUUGAAAGGGAAGCGCUUGUGACCAGACUUGCGCCGGGCUGAUCAUCCGGUGUUCUCACCGGUGCACUCGGCCCGGCACAGGCCAGCAUCGGUUCUCGCGGGGGGAUAAAGGUCCCGGGAACGUAGCUCCUCCGGGAGUGUUAUAGCCCGGGGCGUAAUGCCCUCGCGGGGACCGAGGUUCGCGCAUCUGCAAGGAUGCUGGCGUAAUGGUCAUCAGCGACCCGUCUUGAAACACGGACCAAGGAGUCAAGGUUUUGCGCGAGUGUUUGGGUGUCAAACCCGCACGCGUAAUGAAAGUGAACGUAGGUGAGAGCUUCGGCGCAUCAUCGACCGAUCCUGAUGUUUUCGGAUGGAUUUGAGUAGGAGCGUUAAGCCUUGGACCCGAAAGAUGGUGAACUAUGCUUGGAUAGGGUGAAGCCAGAGGAAACUCUGGUGGAGGCUCGCAGCGGUUCUGACGUGCAAAUCGAUCGUCAAAUCUGAGCAUGGGGGCGAAAGACUAAUCGAACCAUCUAGUAGCUGGUUACCGCCG
rnacentral:rRNA from 1 species